rnacentral:rRNA from 1 species
ACGGGUGAGCAACGCGUGAGAAUCUACCCUUUAGUGAAGAAUACCCUCGAGAAAUCGAGGCUAAUACUGCAUACGUCCCUUCGGGGAGAAAGAUGGCCUCUUUGCUAUCGCUAAAGGAUGAGCUUGCGUACUAUUAGCUAGUUGGCGGGGUAAAGGCCCACCAAGGCAAUGAUGGUUAACCGGCCUGAGAGGGUGUACGGUCACACUGGAACUUAGACACGGUCCAGACUCCUACGGGAGGCAGCAGUGAGGAAUCUUGCGCAAUGGGCGAAAGCCUGACGCAGCGACGCCGCGUGGAGGAUGACGGUCUUCGGAUUGUAAACUCCUGUUAAGUGGGAAGAAGACCCUGUUUCUAAUACAAGCAGGGUAUGACGGUACCGCUAGAGAAAGCACCGGCUAACUUCGUGCCAGCAGCCGCGGUAAUACGAGGGGUGCAAGCGUUAUUCGGAUUGAUUGGGUGUAAAGGGUGUGCAGACGGCUUAUUAAGUCACUUGUUAAAUUCUUCGGCCUAACUGAAGGUGUGCAGGUGAUACUGAUGAGCUAGAGGGUGGAAGAGAGAAGUGGAAUUCUCGGA